UACGUAGGGUGCGAGCGUUGAUCGGAAUUACUGGGCGUAAAGCGUGCGCAGGCGGUUCGCCAAGUCAGGUGUGAAAUCCCCGGGCUUAACCUGGGAAUUGCGCUUGAAACUAGCGGGCUUGAGUGUGGCAGAGGGGGGUGGAAUUCCACGUGUAGCAGUGAAAUGCGUAGAGAUGUGGAGGAACACCGAUGGCGAAGGCAGCCCCCUGGGUCAACACUGACGCUCAUGCACGAAAGCGUGGGGAGCAAACAGG
rnacentral:rRNA from 1 species